rnacentral:rRNA from 1 species
GACGUAGGGCGCGAGCGUUGUCCGGAUUUAUUGGGCGUAAAGAGCUCGUAGGCGGCUUGUCGCGUCGAAUGUGAAAACCCACGGCUCAACUGUGGGCUUGCAUUCGAUACGGGCAGGCUAGAGUUCGGUAGGGGAGACGUGGAAUUCCUGGUGUAGCGGUGAAAGUGACGCAGAGUAUCAGGAGGAACACCGGUGGCGAAGGCGGGUCUCUGGGCCGAUGACUGACGCUGAGGAGCGAAAGCGUGGGGAGCGAACAGG